CGCCUGAGCGCGGCCGCCGCCGUCCGGGCUUGGCUGGGGGUCCCCGGGGAGGAGGGCGCAGCUGUGCCUCAGUCGGAGCGCGGCGGGGCCGAGGACGCGGGGAAGGGUUUCUGUGGAGAAAUGUGUGUUGUGCGCUCCGAGCCCGAGAAACGGUCUUGGAAAUAAAGCAGGAAUUCCUCUCCAGGCCAAACGCAGCAUGUGAAGAUUUUCACGGAGCGCUCUCUGAAGCGAAACCUUCCCAGGAAGAGGGGGACGGAGGAGCUGAGGAAGGAAUAAAGCCGGAAUUCGGGGCACUGCUUUCUUCCAGCCCCAAUUACAGGGCUGGAUUCCGCGGCUAAUUAGAAUCAAAUGCUCCCAAUGAAUUCAGGGGAAGCAGCGCUACGCUCAACUCGGCCCGGAGGCUGCGGGGAGAGCGGGGCGGCACCGGGCGGCUCGGGGCGCACAGAGCACCGCAUUCCUCUCCCGGUAACGACCGACUGAAUAGCUAAAAAGCA
ensembl:lncRNA